UACGUAGGGAGCAAGCGUUGUUCGGAUUUACUGGGCGUAAAGGGCGCGUAGGCGGCGCGGUAAGUCACUUGUGAAAUCUCUGAGCUUAACUCAGAACGGCCAAGUGAUACUGCAGUGCUAGAGUGCAGAAGGGGCAAUCGGAAUUCUUGGUGUAGCGGUGAAAUGCGUAGAUAUCAGGAGGAACACCUGUGGUGAAGGCGGGUUGCUGGGCUGACACUGACGCUGAGGCGCGAAAGCUAGGGGAGCGAACGGG
rnacentral:rRNA from 1 species